AAACCAACAGGGAUUGCCUUAGUAGCGGCGAGUGAAGCGGCAAGAGCUCAAAUUUGAAAUCUGGUACCUUCGGUGCCCGAGUUGUAAUUUGAAGAAAGCUAUCUUGGAUUUGGCCUUUGUCUAUGUUUCUUGGAACAGGACGUCACAGAGGGUGAGAAUCCCGUGCGAUAAGGUGUCCAUUUCUAUGUAAGAUGUUUUCGAAGAGUCGAGUUGUUUGGGAAUGCAGCUCUAAGUGGGUGGUAAAUUCCAUCUAAAGCUAAAUAUUGGCGAGAGACCGAUAGCGAACAAGUACAGUGAUGGAAAGAUGAAAAGAACUUUGAAAAGAGAGUGAAAAAGUACGUGAAAUUGUUGAAAGGGAAGGGUAUUAGAUCAGACUUGGUAUUUAGUUAUCAUUGCUCCUUGUGGGUGGUGCUCUAGCUUUUUACUGGGCCAGCAUCAGUUUUGGUGGCAAGAUAAUGACAUUUGAACGUGGCUCUUCGGAGUGUUAUAGCUUUUGUUGAUAUUGCCUACUGGGACUGAGGUCUGCGGCUUUUGCCUAGGAUGCUGGCGUAAUGAUCCAAUACCGC
rnacentral:rRNA from 1 species